rnacentral:rRNA from 1 species
GAUGAACGCUGGCGGCGUGCCUAAUGCAUGCAAGUCGAGCGAACAGACGAGGAGCUUGCUCCUUCGACGUUAGCAGCGGACGGGUGAGUAACACGUAGGUAACCUACCUAUAAGACUGGGAUAACUUCGGGAAACCGGAGCUAAUACCGGAUAAUAUUUCGAACCGCAUGGUUCGAUAGUGAAAGAUGGCUUUGCUAUCACUUAUAGAUGGACCUGCGCCGUAUUAGCUAGUUGGUAAGGUAACGGCUUACCAAGGCAACGAUACGUAGCCGACCUGAGAGGGUGAUCGGCCACACUGGAACUGAGACACGGUCCAGACUCCUACGGGAGGCAGCAGUAGGGAAUCUUCCGCAAUGGGCGAAAGCCUGACGGAGCAACGCCGCGUGAGUGAUGAAGGUCUUCGGAUCGUAAAACUCUGUUAUUAGGGAAGAACAAACGUGUAAGUAACUGUGCACGUCUUGACGGUACCUAAUCAGAAAGCCACGGCUAACUACGUG